AGCUGGUUGUCCAUCAGUUCUUCCACAGGACCAUUGAAUCAUGUAAUUUCUGUCAUGGGUGAAAGAUGAGAGGCUGGCAAAGCGGGACAGCAGAGCUCACUAGUUUCACAAGCACUCAGGCUUGUACAAACAUCAGUGGAGGCUCCUGUUGACCUUGAAUGAAUGUAUAUGGAAUCUCUAUACGAUGGCAGUGAUCCAUCCUGACAGCCAGAGGCUGAGCGACAGAUUCCACACAAGAGGGAACCCCAAGAGGUCACUGCAUAUGUCUCCACAUUGGGAAGGUGCCAGGGGUGGACAAGAUCUGUGCUGAAGUAAUGAGGGCUCUGAAUAUCAGGGUGUCGUGGUUGAUACAUCUCUCAAAUGACAUUGAGAUUUCAGAAUCAGUGACGUUGGAUGGUGGUCUUUGUCUUUAAAGAAGGGCCCAGAGGGAAUGUUCUAACAACCAGAUCAACCAGAUCAGGCUCACAUAACCUCUUUGUAAGUGCUAAGAAACUGUAAAGGAGGACGAACAGUGUGGAUUCAUCCCUGUCACCGAAAGGUGGUCCAGGCUGUAACUCUCUAACACAUAACCAAUGGGUCAGAGGAGACUGCUAAUCGUAUCUUUAUUUUAUGUUUCUGAAAAGGUAUGCCCAUAUUCCCCAAGGGAUCCAGUGGGGAUGUGCAUUACGAAGACUGGGGAAUUGGGGCUGCUGCUGUUGUUGCAAAUAAUUCAUAAUUCCUAUGGACAUGAAUGCAGCUCUCACAUAGAUUGAGAUACAGCAUGUGUGCAUUCUUGUUCAUUCCAGGUAGAUGUUAGUCUCCAGCAAAGAGGCACAUUGUCCUACUGAGUGUUAUAUUCGUGGACAGGAUAUCAAGAGAUUUGGAAAGCAUCCAGGAAUCUGCUGUGCCUUGAUAUUAAGGCAGUGAAUCUUCAGAGAACUACAUUAUUUUGCCUCAUUUUAAUUUGGUUUGCUGCUCAAUGUGAUGUUGUCAGGAUCAGAAUA